rnacentral:rRNA from 1 species
ACAGGGAUUGCCUCAGUAACGGCGAGUGAAGCGGCAACAGCCCAGAUUUGAAAUCCGGCUUUCGGGCCCGACUUGUAAUCUGCAGAUGAGUCUUUUGGCGGAGCGCCGUCCAAGUUCCCUGGAACGGGACGCCGGAGAGGGUGAGAGCCCCGUACCGACGUGCGCCGAGUCUUUGCAAAGCUCAUUCGAAGAGUCGAGUAGUUUGGAAAUGCUGCUCAAAUUGUGGGGUAAAUCUCCCAUAAGGCUAAAUACUGGCCAGAGACCGAUAGCGCACAAGUAGCGUGAGCGAAAGAUGAAAAGAGCCUUGAACAAGGGCGUCAAAAAGCAUGUGAAAUUGUUGUGAGGGAAGCGCUCGAUGCCAGACGUGGAGGCGGUUGGUUACCCGGCGUUCUCGCCGGCGCACUCUGCCGUCUCCAGGCCAGCAUCAGUUCGGCUUGGGGCUCAAUGCAGUUGGGAACGUGGCUCUUCGGAGUGUUAUAGCCUAGCUGCGACGUCCUGGGCCGGACUGAGGAACGCGCAUCUGCCCGGAUGCUGGCGUAAUGGCUUCUAGCGACCCGUCUUGAAACACGGACCAAGGAGUUGACCUAACAUGCGAGUGUUUGGGUGUAAAGCCCUCACGCGCAGUGAAAGCGAACGCAGGUGGGAGCUUCGGCGCACCAUCGACCGAUCCUGAAGUUUACGGAUGGAUUUGAGUAAGAGCAUGUUGGGUCUGACCCGAAAGAAGGUGAACUAUGCAUGAAUAGGGUGAAGCCAGAGGAAACUCUGGUGGAGGCUCGCAGCGGUUCUGACGUGCAAAUCGAUCGUCAAAUUUGUGCAUGGGGGCGAAAGACCAAUCGAACCUUCUAGUAGCUGGUUCCUGCCGAAGUUUCCCUCAGGAUAGC